UGUUAUGGCGGCUGUGUGCUGGACGCCUUCGGGCGAGCCGAGUUGUGCGGGUUAUCGGUUGACCAAGCCUGUACACAGUCCGCCUCCAUC
rnacentral:antisense_RNA from 2 species